UCUCCGUAGGUGAACCAGCGGAGGGAUCAUUAUUGAAUAACCAAAGUGCGAGGGCUUUUGCUCCCCCCACACGGCGGCCACGGCCGAUUGCCCUCGCACACACCCAUCGCACCCCUAUGUGCACCACCGCGUGGGUCCCCCUAGGGCUCGUUCGGCGGGGGGCUUACGUUCUCACUCAGUCUUUGUAUGCAUCAUAGAAUGUAUUUUAUGUUUUUUCGAUCACGCAUUCAAUACAACUUUCAACAACGGAUCCCUUGGCUCUCGCAUCGGUGAAGAACC
rnacentral:misc_RNA from 1 species